rnacentral:rRNA from 1 species
UACGUAGGGGGCGAGCGUUGUCCGGAUUUAUUGGGCGUAAAGAGCGUGUAGGCGGCCAGGUAGGUCUGCUGUGAAAACUCGAGGCUCAACCUCGAGACGUCGGCGGAAACCAUCUGGCUAGAGUCCGGAAGAGGAGAGUGGAAUUCCUGGUGUAGCGGUGAAAUGCGUAGAGAUCAGGAAGAACACCGGUGGCGAAAGCGCUCUGCUGGACCUUAACUGACACUGAGGGACGAAAGCUAGGGGAGCGAAUGGG